CAAUAAUGGAGAUACCACAAACAAAACCCUCAAAGUGCUGAGUUCUCUCUCUCGGGAUCUCGUGGAACUCUCGAUUAGUACGCAUAACACCUGGUGUAGGUAGAUUUGUUGCUAGGAGUUACAGUCCAAGACAGUUGGUCAGCGCGUCACCUGGAAUUCCAUUAUUUGAGAUUUUUGUGGUUAAAGAAGAUGAAGAAAUAUAUCUUAUGCAGGUAGUUUAUUUACAGCGUGCGAAAGGAAGUUCUACGAAUAGUACCAGCUCACCUUCCAGGCCUACAAAAACCCCAUCCUAUGACCAUGAAAAGCUACUUACCAGAAAAUUUUUGAUUAAUUCAAUCUAUCUAUUGGACGUUUUCAGUAAACCAUUAAGCAUGCUCUAAUGCUCAUACAGACCAAGGCAUGAACCCUGUUAUUGAAUUCUUUCAUUUUCUUCCCUAGGUUGCAUUAUGAGAAGCAAUGCUAUCUGAUAUAUUGUGUUCAAUAUGAACAAUGUAUGUCAAUGUAUUGAAUUUGGUGUAAGGUUGCAUGUUACAAAGGUCAGGGAAGAAUAGCAGAAUUUGGUUUCCGUAACCCGCGAUGGGUCGAUGGCGAACUUCUCCAACUUAAUGGCAAGGGCAUUGGACCCUAUGUCAAAGGAGCUGAUCUAGGUUUCCUUUACAUUGUGCCCGAGCAAAGUUUCCUUGUGCUACACAACCGUUUAAUAUAUAAAUAUAUUUGUAUAAAGUAUUUUAA